GAUGAACGCUGGCGGCGUGCUUAACACAUGCAAGUCGAACGAAGCAUUUAGAACAGAUUAUUUCGGUAUGAAGUUCUUUAUGACUGAGUGGCGGACGGGUGAGUAACGCGUGGGUAACCUGCCUUGUACUGGGGGAUAGCAGCUGGAAACGGCUGGUAAUACCGCAUAAGCGCACAAUGUUGCAUGACAUGGUGUGAAAAACUCCGGUGGUAUAAGAUGGACCCGCGUCUGAUUAGCUCGUUGGUGAGAUAACAGCCCACCAAGGCGACGAUCAGUAGCCGACCUGAGAGGGUGACCGGCCACAUUGGGACUGAGACACGGCCCAGACUCCUACGGGAGGCAGCAGUGGGGAAUAUUGCACAAUGGAGGAAACUCUGAUGCAGCGACGCCGCGUGAGUGAAGAAGUAAUUCGUUAUGUAAAGCUCUAUCAGCAGGGAAGAUAGUGACGGUACCUGACUAAGAAGCUCCGGCUAAAUACGUGCCAGCCGCCGCGGUAA
rnacentral:rRNA from 1 species